GUGCAGCAGUCGCGAAUUUUUCUCAAUGGGCGAAAGCCUGAAGGAGCGACGCCGCGUGGAGGAUGAAGGCUUUCGGGUCGUAAACUCCUGUCAUUUGAGAACAAGUGUAGCCAAAUAACUACUGGCUACUUGAUAGUAUCAGAAGAGGAAGGGACGGCUAACUCUGCGCCAGCAGCCGCGGUAAUACAGAGGUCCCAAGCGUUGUUCGGAUUCAUUGGGCGUAAAGGGUGCGUAGGUGGCGCCGUAAGUGGGGUGUGAAAUUUCGGAGCUUAACUCCGAAACUGCAUUCCAUACUGCGGUGCUUGAGGACUGGAGAGGAGACUGGAAUUCAUGGUGUAGCAGUGAAAUGCGUAGAGAUCAUGAGGAAGACCAGUGGCGAAGGCGGGUCUCUGGACAGUUCCUGACACUGAGGCACGAAGGCUAGGGGAGCGAACGGGAUUAGAUACCCCCGUAGU
rnacentral:rRNA from 1 species